rnacentral:rRNA from 2 species
GGAUGCGAUCAUACCAGCACUAAAGCACCGGAUCCCAUCAGAACUCUGAAGUUAAGCGUGCUUGGGCGAGAGUAGUACUAGGAUGGGUGACCUCUUGGGAAGUCCUCGUGUUGCAUUCC